CGGCGGGGUACGGUGCCGGAAGGGUACAGUGGCGGAGGGUUAAAGCGGUCUCCACCCCAAGCUAACCCCACCCCAAGCUAACCCCUCGGCAUCCCCGGCCUCUUCUGUCUCGAACCACCUGGUCUCCUACUUGGCCCCCGCCGCCCCUCUCCCUGCCCGGGGCCUGUGAGGAAAGCCUGACGCGUUUGCAGACCGGACUGGGAAAAAAACAAAGUUUGGAGAAUGGGAUUUUCUGCUAAUGAGGACAAAACUCAUCCAAAGUGAACAUUCGUUUUCCAGUUAAAAGAGGACGUGUCCGCCGUGCGAAGGAGAUUUUUGCUCUGUGAAAGAGCUGAGGCUUGACGGAGGUGCUACCUCAAGGGUCCCUUUGCCUCCCUUUCCUAGGUGUCUCUAAACUCCUUUUUUUCCUUCAACCAUAAUCAGACACAAAUUAGCCACUGGUAACGCUCAUCUGAACCUGGUCCCUUUUUUGUAGCGUUUUAUCACACCCGAAUCAAAAACUUCUCAGUCCCCGUUUGAAAAUGAGAAAACAGGUUCCCAGAGGCUGGGUUACUUGUGAAGGUCGUUCCGUUAAUAAGCACAACUCGAAGACUGCCAAAGUUUCUUGGUUCCCUGUUCCCUGUGUAGUAGCUUUUACCGGGCUCCCAGUCAAAUGCUGACGUCAACUGCUGAAGCAGAUUUUAAAAAAUCUUCAAACAAGUUCUGAUUUUAGGAAGUGUCUUUUCUGAAGUGGUCCUUUUCUACACAGAAGAAAGAAGGGACAAUAAAAAAGAAUAGAAAAAAAUGGAAUCAAAGCUUUUGUAAAUAAGGAAGGGAAGAAGGGUUAAAGGGAGGAGAGAAUGAGAAAAAAGCAAAAUAUACCAUGUACAGGUGCUCCUGCCAGGAUGUGCCAUCACCCCCGCCCUCGCCAGAGGCCAAAGCAGGCAUACCCAGUCUUCAACUUUCAACCUCCAAAACUGCAAGGCAACUAAACAUUUUCUCCCUAUACGUUAGCUAUUCUGUCAUUGCAGUGAUGUCAAACUGACUAAUUCAGUGUUAGUCCUAUUCCUGGCUCCCAGGGUAGGACACACGAUCUUAGCCCAUUCCGUUCCUCAAGCCAUCUUUUCUGAAGAAGCAUGACUCUCAUCAGGACAUCAAGACCAACUCUGAGUAAUUUUAUAAGCCAACUCUCUCCUUCUGGACCAAAAGUUGUGAUGAUGGGAGUCAAGCUGUCUAGAGACACCACAGACCUUGGAUGGACCUGACCCAGGGAAAGUAAGGCCUAUAGACGGAUCCUGGUAACAACUUCUGAGCCUAGAAUCAGGACACACCUGAACCAGAUUUCAUGCAGCAGUGAAAUUCCAAAGAAAAAUCUCAAGAUACAAACUAGAAUUGCUGAGUUGUAAUUUAAAUAAACACUUUUAUGAAAAAAUAUCCACUACUUUCUACCAUCUCCAUAAUAUCAUAAAGAAAUAACACACACAGAGAGAAAGAAUAACUCCAGAAUAAAGAACUGCCCUUUAAAAUAAAUACAUCUGGAAAAAAAAUACAUCUGGUGUUGUGAAAUAUUUAUUAUGUUGUACUCACUUUUCUCACUUUGUCCC
ensembl:lncRNA